UUUUUUCCGAGGCACACGUUAAAGAUUGUUCCGCGUUGUGAGUCUAACAUCGGUUGCAUAAACUUUUUACAACCGGUAGCGCUGGAUCCCUUGGCACGUCAUUCGAUGAAGACCGUUGCAAAUUGCGAUAAAGUGAUGUGAUGCGCAAGUCCACCACUUAUACGUGAAUCAUCGAGUUGUUGAACGCAUUGCACCGCGCCCUAAUCCGGCUGCGGUAUGCCCCUUUGAGCGUCAUUGUAUCCCUUCGGGAGUCCUUUUACAAGGACCCGAGCUCGGAGUCCUCGGUCCUCUCUGGAUCGUGUUCUCUCAGAUGCCUCGCGCCGAUCGCCUGAUGGGUCCUCUAAUGCCUAAGCGUGGAGUUCCUUCAGUCCGAGACGCGCUUGACCGGGUCUUGAGCCUGCGUCAUCAAGUCUGCCUAACCAGCGGUACUACAACGCAUGACCUCAUUGGGGUAGGACAACCCGCUAGACUUAAGCAUAWUAAUCAGCGGAGGAAAAGAAACUAACCAGGAUUCCCUCAGAA
rnacentral:rRNA from 1 species